UACGAAGGGGGCUAGCGUUGUUCGGAAUUACUGGACGUAAAGCGCGCGUAGGCGGUGAUCUUUGUCAGAGGUGAAAUCCCGAGGCUCAACUUCGGAAUUGCCUUUGAAACGGGAUCGCUUGAGUCCGAGAGAGGAUGGCGGAAUUCCUAGUGUAGAGGUGAAAUUCGUAGAUAUUAGGAAGAACACCGGUGGCGAAGGCGGCCAUCUGGCUCGGUACUGACGCUCAGGCGCGAAAGCGUGGGGAGCAAACAGG
rnacentral:rRNA from 1 species